GCCCCCAGCCCUGUCUCUCCUUAUCUUCAGCGCCUGCCACAACCAGACAGAAAGGAGACAAUGGAGCCUGGCAGCACUCAGCUAAAACUUGACCCCAGGUACACAGCAGAUCUCCUGGAGGUACUGAGAACCAAUUACAGCAUCCCCUCCGCCUGCUUCUCCCACCCACCCACUGCAGCCCAGCUCCUGAGAGUAUCGGGACCUGUGGAAAUCACUCUUACAGUCAUCAUGACCUUUCUCGUGCUGGGCUCCAUUGCCAUCUUCCUGGAGGAUGCAGUCUAUCUAUACAAGAACACCCAAUGCCCCAUCAAGAGGAAGACUCUGCUGUGGAAUAGCUCUGCCCCCACGGUGGUGGCUGUGUUCUGCUGUUUUGGCCUCUGGAUCCCUCGUUCUCUCAUGCUCGUGGAAAUGGCCAUAACCUCGUUUUAUGCCGUAUGCUUUUACCUGCUCAUGAUGGUCAUGGUGGAAGGCUUUGGGGGGAAGGAGGCUGUGGUGAGGACACUGAAGGACACCCCAAUGAGAAUCCACACUGGCCCCUGCUGCUGCUGCUGCCCCUGUUGUCCCCACCUCAUGCUCACCAGAAAGAAGCUUCAGCUGCUGAUGUUGGGUCCGUUCCAAUAUGCCUUCUUCAAGAUAACCCUGGGCUUUGUGGGCCUGUUUCUCAUCCCUGACGGCAUCUACAACCCAGCAGAUAUUUCUGAGAAGAGCACAGCUCUGUGGAUCAACACUGUCCUUGGGGUGUCCACCUUGCUGGCUCUCUGGGCUCUGGCCAUCGUUUUCCGUCAGGCCAAGCUACACCUGGGGGAUCAGAACAUGGGAGCUAAAUUUGCACUGUUCCAGGUGCUUGUCAUCCUGACUGCUCUGCAGCCUUCCAUUUUCUCCAUCUUGGCCAACGGUGGGCAGAUUGCUUGUUCACCUCCCUUUUCCUCUAAAAGCAGAUCUCAAGGUGAGCAUAAAAGGGCUUCUCUGUGAGAUGGACCUUGGGACAGAGGUUACGUGUUUGACAUUUACUCAGAAUAUUCAAGUCAAGAAAGCUGAAUAAGGGGCUAACAGAGAAGUGCAAACCCAGUCCUGACAGCCAUUUCAGGAAGCCAUAGGUUUAGUCUCCAACUCCUUGGAGAGGACUGGAUGUGGGUAUUAAAAGGAAGGUCCGAUUGGUUAAAUGUGAAUGAGAAAUAAGCUUCAGUGCUAACCUCAGAUCAAAGACAAGUUCUGAUUCUGGCUUUAACAUUCAUCUUUGUCACCUUAGACAAUUUAAUAUUCAUAGGUCCUAGUUUGGGGGGAAAACUAGCAUAGGUAGUAGAACUAGAGUAGAUCAUUCUCAGCUCACAAGCUAGGCUGCAAGAAGAAUGCCAUCUCCCUAACGGAGCAUAACCGAUGUUGUGUUACACCCCA